ACUUCGGUCUGGGGCAAAGCCGCGAACGGGUGAGUAACACGUGAGUAAUCUGCCCCGAUGACCGGGACAACCCGAGGAAACUCGGGCUAAUACCGGAUGAUGAGCCUUGGCGUAAGCCUUGUCUCUAAAGGAAGCUUCGGCCUCCGCAUCGGGAGGAGCUCGCGGCCCAUUAGCUUGUUGGUGGGGUAAUGGCCUACCAAGGCAACGAUGGGUAGCUGGUCUGAGAGGACGAUCAGCCACACUGGAACUGAGACACGGUCCAGACUCCUACGGGAGGCAGCAGUGGGGAAUCUUGCGCAAUGCGCGAAAGCGUGACGCAGCAACGCCGCGUGGGGGAAGACGGCCUUCGGGUUGUAAACCCCUUUCAGGAGGGACGAAGGUUCACCGGUGAAUAGCCGUGUGGAUUGACGGUACCUCCACAAGAAGGUCCGGCUAACUACGUGCCAGCAGCCGCGGUAAUACGUAGGGACCAAGCGUUGUCCGGAAUCAUUGGGCGUAAAGCGCGCGUAGGUGGCUUCGUAAGUCCGUUGUGAAAGUCAAAGGCUCAACCUUUGAAAGCCGAUGGAUACUGCGAAGCUAGAGUACGGAAGAGGCGAGUGGAAUUCCUGGUGUAGCGGUGGAAUGCGCAGAUAUCAGGAGGAACACCAAUAGCGAAGGCAGCUCGCUGGGACGUUACUGACACUGAGGCGCGAAAGCGUGGGGAGC
rnacentral:rRNA from 1 species